UACGGAGGGUGCGAGCGUUAUCCGGAUUCACUGGGUUUAAAGGGUGCGUAGGUGGGCAGGUAAGUCAGUGGUGAAAUCUCCGGGCUUAACCCGGAAACUGCCAUUGAUACUAUCAGUCUUGAAUACCGUGGAGGUAAGCGGAAUAUGUCAUGUAGCGGUGAAAUGCUUAGAUAUGACAUAGAACACCAAUGGCGAAGGCAGCUCGCUGGGACGGUACUGACGCUGAGGCGCGAAAGCGUGGGGAGCAAACAGG
rnacentral:rRNA from 1 species